AUAACCUCGAAUAGUCUAUAAAAGCAAACCAUUUAGCGUCAAACUUUUAUAAGAUCAUCUCUUUUAAGAUGAGGUUCUCUGCGUUUUUUGCUAUAUUUAUACUGUUUGCAGUCUGUGUAGCACUGGGUGCUUCACAACCCAAAAAUGAUAGUCCACC